AAGAUUGAUGAACAUUAUUUAGGUGACACUCCAGAGAUGAAGUGUUCUCCAGGCUUCGUGACUGUGGUACUCUUAAUGCUUGGACAAACCCAUGGAGAUUCAGUGACCCAGAUGGAAGGCCCAGUGACCCUCUCAGAAGAGGAUUCCCUGACUAUAAACUGUACCUAUUCAAUAACAGGGUAUCCCACUCUUUUCUGGUAUGUCCAGUAUCCAGGAGAAGGUCCAGAGCUCCUCCUGAAAGCCUCGAGGGACAAGGAGACGAAACACAACAAAGGUUUUGAAGCCACCCUCGACAGCAAAUCCAAAUCCUUCCACCUGGAGAAGGGCUCAGUGCAAGCGUCAGAUUCAGCUGUUUACUACUGUGUCAUGAAUGACACAGUGACGGGGACUGCAGGGGGAGCUGAGCACAAACCCUGA